GUGCUUGUUUCAGCAGCACAUAUACUAAAAUUGGAAUGAUACAGAGAAGAUUCGCAUGACUCCUGUGCAUGGAUGACAUGCAAAUUCAGGAAGCAUUCCAUAUUUUU